AUGAAAAUAGUUUAAUCAAAACAUUGAAUUGUGGCUUCAAAAAUAUCUAAUGAUUUUUCAUC
rnacentral:tRNA from 1 species